UACGAAGGGGGCUAGCGUUGCUCGGAAUCACUGGGCGUAAAGCGCACGUAGGCGGCUUCUUAAGUCAGGGGUGAAAUCCUGGAGCUCAACUCCAGAACUGCCUUUGAUACUGAGGAGCUUGAGUCCGGGAGAGGUGAGUGGAACUGCGAGUGUAGAGGUGAAAUGCGCAGAUAUCAGGAGGAACACCGAUGGCGAAGGCAGCUCGCUGGGACGGUACUGACGCUGAGGCGCGAAAGCGUGGGGAGCAAACAGG
rnacentral:rRNA from 1 species